UCAGAGGGUGGAGAACAUGAAAUUUCCUCUGGGUCCAUAUAUGCUUUACACUGUUAGUAGUUCUUGUUUCUUCAGCUGUUACAAGAAAUGGUUUAAAAUUCUGUCUUCCAAUCAGAUCACUUCUCAGGUGAGAUCCAGUUGGUUAAUGUCUCUCUUAAAGUUUAAACAAUGAUGACUUAUGAGUAAGUCUUGGGAAUUGUUCUGUUGAUUUCUUUUUUAAAAAAUAAAUUUUAUUGUAUAUAUUUAAAGUAAACAACAUGAUCUAAGAUAAAUACACAUAUACACACACAUAUACAUAUAUGUUAAAAUGGUUACUACAGUGGGACAAAUUCAUCAUCUUACAUAGUUACUCAUUUUUUUUUUUUUUUGCCCUGUGGCAUGCGCAGUUAUAGUCCAUUCA
rnacentral:lncRNA from 1 species